UACGACUACAUAUCAGGCAUAUCAAUAAGCGGAGGAAAAGAAACUAACUAAGGAUUCCCUCAGUAACGGCGAGUGAAGCGGGAAGAGCUCAAAUUUGAAAUCUUCAAGGUUCUACCUUGACGAAUUGUAGUUUAAAGAAGUGUUUUCUGUUAGAGAGUUAGGUAAAAGUUCUUUGGAAUAGGACAUCAUAGAGGGUGAGAAUCCCGUAUUUGACCUAUUCUUUCUAGCUGUGUGAUACACUUUCAAAGAGUCGGAUUGUUUGGGAAUGCAGUCCAAAAUGGGUGGUAAAUUUCAUCUAAAGCUAAAUAUUGGCGAGAGACCGAUAGCGAACAAGUACCGUGAGGGAAAGAUGAAAAGAACUUUGAAAAGAGAGUUAAACAGUACGUGAAAUUGUCAAAAGGGAAGCGUUUGACACCAGUGUUGUUUUCUCGAAAAUCAAUUAAAAAAAGUUGGAUUUUGUGUUGUAUUGACCCUAACAGCUUGCUUCACUCUUUUCCAGCUUUUUUUAAUGCACUUUUCGUUUAACAAGUCAACAUCAGUUUCUUUUGUUGUAAAAGGGUCAUUGGAAGGUGGCUUUCUCUUCGGAGAAAGUGUUUAUAGUCCUUUGAUCUCUGCAAUCGGAGAGACUGAGGUCUGCAGCGUAGAUCCUUCGGGGUUAGAUACAUUUGUGCUAAGCUACAGCUUUUCAUAGACAACUUGUUGACUAUGUUUAGUCUUGUGACUUACCCGCUUAUGCUAUUUUACCUACGCUUAGGAUGUUGAGCGCAUGUCUCUCUCU
rnacentral:rRNA from 1 species